rnacentral:rRNA from 1 species
CGGCUCCCCAUCUCUUGUGGCUUGGGCGUGGGCGUGAACCCUAGCCCCCAGUCCACAGCCGCCACACCCCUCCUCCGGUCCUUCCCGCUCCCAAUCUCCUCUCCCACUCCGCCGCCACCCCGCUCCCCACUCGCCUCAGCCACCUCCUAUGCUCCCUCGCGCCACCGACUCCCUCCCUCCUCCCUCCCUCGUCAUCGCAGCCGACCACCUGCCGUCACUUAGGCCCCCAUGGCGGCUGCCGGGUCGGGGUGGAGGCAAUAGGCCAUGGAGAAUCUGGUGGUGUCUGUGGGUGCAGCAGGGGUAGAUGGAGCGUCGGAUGCGGGCGGGCUCCCACCCUUAGGCUCCACGACGGAGGCCAGUUCAGAGGGCGAAAGCAGAAAGCGGUGGCGUGUCCUACGCUUGUGGGCGGAAGCAGCGAGGUUGGUCGAGCGGUGAUUGUGGCCGGGGUCAGUAGCUGAAGGAGGCUCGCUGACUGGAACAGUAGGAGGAGCGCCUCGAGGAGUCGAAGGGAGAGGUCGUGCAGGCCAGACAAAGGAGAGCAAGGACGAUGAAUAUUCAAUCAGACCUAUGUUUUCUUCUCGAUGCACCUCGGCAUGAGGAGUCGUGCUAGGCAUCCUGGGGUGAUUCAAGAUGCUCAGGUGUACCACACUGCAUGCUACACAGGUCAAUUGUGCAGUGAAAUGAAAGGCCACAAACAACGCUUCUCCGGGAAGUGAAUUUUAUGGUGCCUUGCAUUCUGCUCAUUUGGCGCAAUUGUUCAUCACAAAGAGGAGGGGAGAGGUCUACCCUUGGGAAAUGGGUGCCUCUCCAGUCAAGCGAGCGACGACAAAUCCAACUGGAAAGGGCUCUGUGGUGAUCUUCAUGUUAUCAGUAACUAUACAUGAGUUUCCUUGCUAACAGUUGUUAUCUUUCAACGUUGCAAGUUUAGCCCUAUUUGCAAUACAACAUUCAAGCAAAUAAUUUGUGCUUUAUAUUUUGAAAUGCAUGUGCAGCAUGUUUUUUUCUCUUUUAUCCAAGCUACUAUGCAAAAUUGUAUUGUUUUACGGCCAUUUGGUUCAUAGGAGUGAGCUUUGUAGGACUGGGAUAAUACAUGCAUGUGCAGUAUUAUAGAUACACAGUUAGCUGUUGAACAAUUCUUAUUUGUAGUUCUCUGAAAUAUUACUUCCUUACUUUAAAUUUACCUUCUUUCUUAUCCAUGUACAAGCAAAGGGAUUUAUAGCUGGUGAAGAGCAGCAAGGCAAGGCCAUUGCGCCGGCUGUUGAGCUUGAAAAGUUCGUAUGGAAUAUGCAAAAAAAUAUUUUUUCCGUUAUGUUCUGUUGGAAUUUGUCACAUUUCUUUUGUGAAAGAAUGUGCCAUUGUCUAAUAUAUUUGUCAAACAAAAAAUAGUUGCAUAUACUAGACUGGAUGGUUUGAGAAACUACGGGCACUAUCAAGAGUGUGUUAUAGGAAAUUUGUUUAAUUACAUAUAUCAUAUAUGUUCUGCUCUUAAGAGAUUAGUUUAGUUACAUGUAUAUUCUGCUUUGUGGUGUCACCCCUACAUCUAUUCAUGCAUAAUGAAUUUGGUGGUGUCAUUCUUUAUAUUGCAACAUGUUAAACAAUCUUGUGAUUGUAAUAUUUUUUUGGUGUUGCCAUAAAAUUAGAAACAUUUAUUGAAAUUGUUCAGUAAUGCAGUUUUAUGAUAUUGAGUGCCUUAGCCUUUGGUUGGAUAUAGAGUUUGAAAACAAUAUCUAGGUUGGAGCACACUAUGCUACAUCAAAAAGGACCUACAUAGCUAAUCAAGUAUGUUUGCUAAGAGGUGAACUUAGCAAAAUUGAGGAUGUCAGCUUUUACAUUUUGUCAUGCUUGGCUUAGAUAAGAUGUAUCCAUGCUUUUUUGUGUUUGUACCAAAGCUUCCUUGCCUUUAGAGGAUUUUGUGCAAGCUUUGCAUUUUCUUUGCCUGAGGCUACAAAUGCAUAUUUUCAUUUGUUCUGGUAGUUUUAUUACCUUCGGAACAGUCACAUGCAUGAGGCAGUGAGUUUGGACAAGGUGGAGCAGCGUCGACUGUCACACACACUAAUGGAGAUUGGGAUGUCUACCUUCCUAUUGACGAUCUUAUAAUUCAUCUGCUAACUGACAUAUUUUAGCCAUAUAAUUUCUGGUGACUGGAAGUCUAAAACUGAAGAUAGGGCAGAUUGUUUUGAUUAUGAUUACUUGGAGAUCUCGUGGCUUGCUGUCCAUGGAUCAGUCAGACCUACGGCAACAUCAACUCAUUGAUUCUAGAGGCCAUGGUUCUCGAGAACAACAUGUCAUAAAUGUGGUGCUGGGCAAACAGAAGAGAUGUUGUACAGAGUGACUCCAUAACUGAAGAGUAGACAAACAUUGUGCAAGGCAUUUUUGUUCAGUUCCUUUCAAAAAUGAAGGAAUUACAGUGCAUCUGACCUGUAAAGGAGUGUGACGGACAAAAUGCUAUGAAUCAGAGGAGUGGAGGGAAGAGUUUACCAACAACUUUUGAAGGGACAAAGUGUGACCUGGAUUCGAGAAACAAAAUGUGACCUGGAUUCCUAAGUUAUAGCCAACGUUGCAAAAUUGUAUAGAGAAUGCCCGCAUUUUGGAAACUCUACAUAGUUUGAGGCUAUGUUCCUUUCAAUUUUCAGCAUUAUUAAAAAAAUUCUUAUUGUUGCUAUUUUC